rnacentral:rRNA from 1 species
GAUGAACGCUGGCGGCGUGCCUAAUACAUGCAAGUCGAGCGAACAGACGAGGCUCUUGCUCCUCUGACGUUAGCGGCGGACGGGUGAGUAACACGUGUAUAAUCUACCUAUAAGACUGGUAUAACUUCGGGAAACCGGAUCUUAUACCGUAUAAUCUAUUGAACCGCAUGGGUCAAUAGUGAAAGUCGGUUUUGCUGGCACUACUAGAUGGAUCCGGGCCGGAUUAGCUAGUUGGUAAGGUAACGGCUUACCAAGGGUAGGAUGCGUAGACGACGGGAGAGAGGGGUAGGCCACACUGGAAGUGAGACACGGUCCAGACGCCUAAGGGAGGCCGCAGUCGGGAAUGGGACGCAAUGGGCGGGAGCUUGGCGGAGCGGCGCCGAGUGAGUGAUGACAGUCUUGGGAUCGUGAUACUCUGUUACUAGGGGAGAACAGAUGUGGAAGUAAACAUGCACGUCUUGACGGUAACUGAUCAGAAAGCAACGGCUAACUACGUG